GAUGAACGCUGGCGGCGCGCCUAACACAUGCAAGUCGAACGAUUAAAGCACCUUCGGGUGUGUAUAAAGUGGCGAACGGCUGAGUAACACGUGGGCAACCUGCCCCUCUCAUUGGGAUAGCCACGGGAAACCGUGGAUAAUACCGAAUACUUCGAGACUUCCGCAUGGAAGACUCGAGAAAGCUCCGGCGGAGAGGGAUGGGCCCGCGGCCUGUUAGCUUGUUGGUGGGGUAACGGCCUACCAAGGCAAUGAUGGGUAGCUGGGUUGAGAGACCGACCAGCCAGAUCGGGACUGAGACACGGCCCAGACUCCUACGGGAGGCAGCAGUGGGGAAUCUUGCACAAUGGGCGAAAGCCUGAUGCAGCGACGCCGCGUGCGGGAUGAAGGCCUUCGGGUUGUAAACCGCUUUCAGCAGGGACGAGGCGAAAGUGACGGUACCUGCAGAAGAA
rnacentral:rRNA from 2 species